rnacentral:miRNA from 1 species
ACUGUGACGGCUUAUAUCUCG